rnacentral:lncRNA from 1 species
UCCAAUCCUUAUCCUUAAUACAGAUAUAGUUCUCUUCACAUAAGGAGAAUUCAACACCUUAUCCCAUAUGUAAUCUAUUCAAUCAGUUCAGAAGAUAUUGCUGCUCGAUCCCAAAGGAUUAUCUUCUUGAUGUGCAUCUCAUGUGCAUAUGCCAUAACAACUGUGUCUCCUAAGAUGGACCUGGUCCUUCACUGAGUUCAUUUGUCAUUUUUUGAAACUUCAACUGAGCUUGGGCCAACAAGUAGGUUAUUGUUGAAACAUUAUUUUUGUAAUAUUUCUAGGCUAGAGCUAGUCUGGGAAGGGGUUGCUAUAAUUGGAUUGAUUGUAGGAGUUAGGAUACUAGAGUUAGUCCCUUUGGUUAUAGAGUUUUAGCCUAAAACUGCUCUUUGAAGUUAAUGAAGAUUUGAGGAAAAUUCUACAGUGUAGGUAAUGUUUUUACUCCAUUGAGCAAUGAGGUUUUUCGCGUAAAAAUCUCUGUGUUGAUUACUUUUUCGCAAUUCAUUUUGUUUGUGUCUAUUUGAAUAUUACUUUUUGCUUAAAUUAUAUAUUAGCUGUAUAAGAAUAAAGCGGUUUGAAAAUGAAGAGAUUUAGAACAAAAUUAAAUAAAAUGCGAAAGAAAAAGAAAUAAAAUUGAAAGAAUAAAAAAAAUGGGGACACCCCUUGGGUUCUGUCUUCCCAAGUGGAAGACAACAAAAUGAAGGGAUACCAAUCUAAGAACGGAUUGGAAUUGAAGUCGUGGAAACGUUACUGGAUCUAGUGGCCUAGACCUUGCAUUACCAGAUUUUUCUAUUUCGUCCGAGAUAACAUAAUUUUGGCCCUAUGCUACCCCAACUCGCAUAAAAGGGGUUCUAAACUUAUUUUGAAGGAUGGAGAACAUUUUUGGGAGAAAUUUUUGGCGAUGAGAGAGCACAGAACUGUCGUGGAACCCGAGUUUCAUCUUUUUUCUACCAAACUUUGUAAUUUUUAUGUUUCUUUAUAUGAUUUGUUGUUCGAUUACCAUGUCUAUGUGGGGCUAAAACUUCACGUUCUAGGGUUGUGGUUCUUUCAUGACUAUGGUUAUUCGGAUAUUGAUUUUGCUUUCUUGAUUUAUCGUAUUGGUUUAUUUAUUCAAUCUCGCGUUUGAUUAUUUAAUUAUUUGAUCACCAAUUAAAUACUAUCUACGGAUCUAGAAUUGAACUCGAAAGUGGGAAUUCUAAAUUGCAUAUAGGAUUGAAUAGAGCAAUUUAUUGAACCUAAGCAUCGGGAAAUGGAUUGCGGUUAGGAUAGACAUAUACCUAAUUGCCUUGCUUGGUUGAUAAACAGGAAUUAUAAAUGCGCUCUUGUUAGUUCGAAUUUCAUAGACAUAUAGACGUUAGGUUAGCUUGAAUAGGAGAGUAAGGACUCGAUAGAUUCUUAUGAGCAACAUUAACCUUGUCAACCAAUAAACUAGAUAAAUUAGUUAGUCAAUUCAAUCGAAGAAUACAAUAGGAAUGUUAGAUAGCCCAUAACCUAGGUCGUUUUCAUUACAUUUAUAACAUAAAAAUCUGCUCUUUCUUUGUUUGAAUUUAUCAUAACCCUAGAUCGUUUUGAUUUCAUUGAUAACAUAAAAAUCUGCUCUUCUUAUUUAUUUUCUUUUUAGUUUAAUUACUUUAGCAUCAUUGCUUUUGGGUUUUAAUUCUUGUUUAUAUAAUUAGGAUAGUCUAAUUUAGUUAAUAGUUAAUCACAUGUCCUUGUGAGUUCGACAUCCGAUUUUUAGUCAGUUAAUUACUUGACGAUCGCGUAUAGUUGCGUGAGUGUGUUUGGCCGCAACAGUGACUAGGAGUGAAAAAAGUAGAGAAAGAAGAAGCUAACCCUUGUUUGUGAUUGUGAUGGUUUGAUUCUUAAAUUCAUUCUUUAAAAGUAGAGGUAAACAAAUUUACACUUUAAGAUAAUGAUUGUGGUCCAAUUUUUAGAACAACAUUCAAUAUGCUACAAUGUGCAGAAACUAAGCCUGUCAAACGGGCCUACCGGGCCGAUUCCGGGUCAAAAAAAUUUGACCCGUCCAAUUUCCGGUCCGGGCUCAACAGUACCGGUUUGCUACCGGACUGGUUAGUUCUGGGUUAGGAUUGACCCG